AGUGGAUGGGGAGCAACAAAAGUUGUGUGUGUGUAAAGGUAGUGCCAAGAAAAGCUGAGUUGAUGUUGAACAAAAGAUUCCGGUACCCGAAACCGGCACAGGUAGGCAAGUAGAGAAUACUAAGGGGCGCGAGGUAACUCUCUCCAAGGAACUCGGCAAAAUGACCCCGUAACUUCGGGAGAAGGGGUGCCACAGAGAGGUGGUCGCAGUGAAGAGUCCCAGGCGACUGUUUAGCAAAAACAUAGGUCUCUGCAAACUCGAAAGAGGAGGUAUAGGGGCUGACGCCUGCCCAGUGCCGGAAGGUUAAAGAAGUUGGUCAGUCGAAAGAUGAAGCUAACGACUGAAGCCCCGGUGAACGGCGGCCGUAACUAUAAGGUCCUAAGGUAGCGAAAUUCCUUGUCGGGUAAGUUCCGACCCGCACGAAAGGCGUAACGAUCUGGGAGCUGUCUCGGAGAGAGGCUCGGCGAAAUAGGAUUGUCUGUGAAGAUACGGACUACCUGCAUUUGGACAGAAAGACCCUAUGAAGCUUUACUGUAGCUUGGAAUUGUGUUCGGGCUUGCUGUGCGCAGGAUAGGUGGGAGGCUAUGAAGGUAUGCUUGUGGGUGUACUGGAGCCGUCAGUGAGAUACCACUCUCAGGGGGCUAGAAUUCUAACUAAAGAAAGGACAGUUUCAGGUGGGCAGUUUGACUGGGGCGGUCGCCUCCAAAAAGGUAACGGAGGCGUACAAAGGUUCCUUCAGACUGGUUGGAAAUCAGUCGCAGAGUGCAAAGGCAGAAAGGAGCUUGACUGCGAGAAUUACAGUUCGAGCAGGGUGGAAACACGGUCUUAGUGAUCCGACGGUGCUGUGUGGAAGGGCCGUCGCUCAACGGAUAAAAGUUACUCUAAGGAUAACAGGCUGAUCUCCCCCAAGAGUUCACAUCGACGGGGAGGUUUGGCACCUCGAUGUCGGCUCAUCGCAACCUGGGGCGGAAGUACGUCCCAAGGGUUGGGCUGUUCGCCCAUUAAAGCGGUACGUGAGCUGGGUUCAGAACGUCGUGAGACAGUUCGGUCCAUAUCCGAUGUAGGCGAGAGAAUAUUGAGAGGAGCCUUCCUUAGUACGAGAGGACCGGGAAGGACGCACCGCUGGUGUACCUGUUAUGAUGCCAAUUGUAAACGCAGGGUAGCCAAGUGCGGAGAGGAUAACCGCUGAAAGCAUCUAAGUGGGAAGCCCACCUCAAGAUGAGUAUUCUGUGUUAAGGUCACGGGAAGACGACCCGUAAAUAGGCACGAGGUGGAAGUACAGUAAUGUAUGAAGCCGAAGUGUACUAAUAGACCGUC
rnacentral:rRNA from 1 species